rnacentral:rRNA from 1 species
GAUGAACGCUGGCGGCGCGCCUAACACAUGCAAGUCGAACGAUUAAAGCACCUUCGGGUGUGUAUAAAGUGGCGAACGGCUGAGUAACACGUGGGCAACCUGCCCCUCUCAUUGGGAUAGCCACGGGAAACCGUGGAUAAUACCGAAUACUUCGAGACUUCCGCAUGGAAGACUCGAGAAAGCUCCGGCGGAGAGGGAUGGGCCCGCGGCCUGUUAGCUUGUUGGUGGGGUAACGGCCUACCAAGGCAAUGAUGGGUAGCUGGGUUGAGAGACCGACCAGCCAGAUUGGGACUGAGACACGGCCCAGACUCCUACGGGAGGCAGCAGUGGGGAAUCUUGCACAAUGGGCGAAAGCCUGAUGCAGCGACGCCGCGUGCGGGAUGAAGGCCUUCGGGUUGUAAACCGCUUUCAGCAGGGACGAGGCGAAAGUGACGGUACCUGCAGAAGAAGCCCCGGCUAACUACGUGCCAGCAGCCGCGGUAAUACGUAGGGGGCAAGCGUUAUCCGGAUUCAUUGGGCGUAAAGCGCUCGUAGGCGGUCUGUUAGGUCGGGAGUUAAAUCCGGGGGCUCAACCCCCGUUCGCUCCCGAUACCGGCAGACUUGAGUUUGGUAGGGGAAGGUGGAAUUCCUAGUGUAGCGGUGGAAUGCGCAGAUAUUAGGAAGAACACCAGUGGCGAAGGCGGCCUUCUGGGCCAUAACUGACGCUGAGGAGCGAAAGCUAGGGGAGCAAACAGG